UGUAAACCACACCCCUUGUCGCUACCAAUGUGCAAGUCUGGCAGGAGCAGCUGAUCGGCUGGAGGGAUAAAGGUUCACAUUGUGAUUUACUGGUUGAAAGUGGGGCUAUGACUGUUCAGUUAGUUGUCAGGUUUGUAAUGUGAACUACAUUGGCCAAUGAAAAAGACUGGGAGAUUGCUGCAAUCCAGCAAACGUAUCAUUGGCUAACUGAGGCUCCUGGCUAUGGUAAACUUGACAGCUGGUAAUAAUUUCUCUGAGGGAGGUGAAUCAGGGAGAACCAGGAGGGGGGCGGUGGUGAUCCAUAGCCAUGCUCCUGUGUUGGAACACUUUUCAGGACAACUGCACAUCAUUCCCUGAUGUCUGGGGGCUGUUCUCAAUUUGUAAGCUGCCAGUCUCAAGCACUAGAUCUACCUGUAAUGAGUGGGCGAUGCUGUCCUGCUACAGGCCAUCUGGCGGGCACCAGCGAGCGUCCACCAACGAUGUCGCCCGCAAUGUGCCGCCCAUCCCGGUGGCGACGCAAAGAAAGUGGAGG